UACGAAGGGGGCUAGCGUUGUUCGGAUUCAUUGGGCGUAAAGGGUGCGUAGGCGGCGCGGUGAAGUCGGGUGAUGAAUCGUCGGGCUAACUCCGAAACUGCAUUCGAUACUGCCGUGCUUGAGGACUGGAGAGGAGACUGGAAUUUACGGUGUAGCGGUGAAAUGCGUAGAUAUCGUAAGGAAGACCAGUGGCGAAGGCGGGUCUCUGGACAGUUCCUGACGCUGAGGCACGAAGGCCAGGGGAGCAAACGGG
rnacentral:rRNA from 1 species